GACGAACGCUGGCGGCGUGCUUAACACAUGCAAGUCGAACGGUGAAGCUCAAGCUUGCUUGGGUGGAUCAGUGGCGAACGGGUGAGUAACACGUGAGCAACCUGCCCCGGACUCUGGAAUAAGCGCUGGAAACGGCGUCCAAUACUGGAUAUGACACCAAUCCGCAUGGGUAUGGUGUGGAAAGUUUUUCGGUCUGGGAUGGGCUCGCGGCCUAUCAGCUUGUAGGUGAGGUAAUGGCUCACCAAGGCGACGACGGGUAGCCGGCCUGAGAGGGCGACCGGCCACACUGGGACUGAGACACGGCCCAGACUCCUACGGGAGGCAGCAGUGGGGAAUAUUGCACAAUGGGCGAAAGCCUGAUGCAGCGACGCCGCGAGGGAUGACGGCCUUCGGGUUGUAAACCUCUUUCAGCAGGGAAGAAGCGAAAGUGACGGUACCUGCAGAAGAAGCACCGGCUAACUACGUGCCAGCAGCCGCUGUAACAC
rnacentral:rRNA from 1 species